rnacentral:rRNA from 1 species
AUUGAACGCUGGCGGCAUGCUUUACACAUGCAAGUCGAACGAGUGGCGAACGGGUGAGUACUAUAUCGGAACGUACCGAGUAAUGGGGGAUAACCAAUCGAAAGAUUGGCUAAUACCGCCUAUUAUUCGAGCGGCCGAUAACUGAUUAGCUAGUGGGUGGGUUAAAGGCCUACCAAGGUGACGAUCAGUAGCGGGUCUGAGAGGACGAGCCGCCACAAUGGGACUGAGCCACGGCCCAGACUCCUACGGGAGGAAGCAGUGGGGAAGUAUGGACAAGGGGGGCAACCCUGAUCCAGCCAUGCCGCGGGUAUGAAGAAGGCCUUCGGGUUGUAAAGUACGUUUGUUAGGGAAGCGGUACCUAAAGAAUAAGCACCGGCGAACUACGUGCCAGCAGCCGCGGUAAUUC